rnacentral:rRNA from 1 species
GACGAACGCUGGCGGCGUGCCUAAUACAUGCAAGUCGAACGAACCGCGACUGAGUGCUUGCACUUGGUCAAGGUGAGUGGCGAACGGGUGAGUAACACGUGGGUAACCUACCUCAUAGUGGGGGAUAACAGUCGGAAACGACUGCUAAUACCGCAUAGGACAUAGGAUCACAUGAUCCAGUGAGGAAAGGUGGCGCAAGCUAUCGCUAAGAGAUGGACCCGCGGUGCAUUAGCUAGUUGGUAGGGUAAAGGCCUACCAAGGCGAUGAUGCAUAGCCGACCUGAGAGGGUGAUCGGCCACAUUGGGACUGAGACACGGCCCAAACUCCUACGGGAGGCAGCAGUAGGGAAUCUUCCGCAAUGGACGCAAGUCUGACGGAGCAACGCCGCGUGAGUGAAGAAGGUCUUCGGAUCGUAAAGCUCUGUUGUUAGAGAAGAACAGCGCAUAGAGUAACUGCUAUGCGUGUGACGGUAACUAACCAGAAAGCCACGGCUAACUACGUG